rnacentral:rRNA from 1 species
UGGGGAAUCUUGGACAAUGGGGGCAACCCUGAUCCAGCCAUGCCGCGUGAGUGAUGAAGGCCUUCGGGUUGUAAAACUCUUUCGACGGGGAAAAUAAUGAUGGUACCCGUAGAAGAAGCCCCGGCUAACUUCGUGCCAGCAGCCGCGGUAAUACGAAGGGGGCUAGCGUUGUUCGGAAUUACUGGGCGUAAAGCGCGCGUAGGCGGUUUAGUAAGUUGGAUGUGAAAUCCCUAGGCUCAACCUAGGAAUUGCAUUCAAGACUGCUGAGCUAGAUGCCUGGAGAGGAGAGUGGAAUUCCCAGUGUAGAGGUGAAAUUCGUAGAUAUUGGGAAGAACACCAGUGGCGAAGGCGGCUCUCUGGCCAGGUUAUGACGCUGAGGCGCGAAAGUGUGGGGAGCAAACAGG